ACAGACGCCGGCAGUUCUCGUCUGUCCCGAGCGGGCAUCAUAACAGGGCGGCUUCGCGCUACCGUUUGAUAGCACCUUGGUGAGGUCACCACCUGCACAGUGACGUCACACCCAAAUUGGCAUCACUGCAGUGCCUCGUGCUGCAGGGGAUAGCGGUUCACUUGAGGGAGCACGAGGUUCAGCAGAGAGUAGGAAACUCAGGGGGAAUAGAGCAGGGACAGCGUGUUUCUCCGCGCGUCCCGAUCCCCGAAGCCCCAGCAGCCAUUGCGAAAGAGCGGCUGAAGUGGCGGGGGGGGCGUUCCCACGGCGACGGCGGGAGGUUUAAAAGCGGUUGAAACUCGAUAUUAGUAUUCAGUCAGCUGAUCGGAGCCAGCCCAGCGAGAGCCGGAGCCCGCGAGGUUCAGCCGACCACGAGGUUCAGCUAAGAUUAGGAAACUCAGCGGGAAUAGAGCAGGGUCAGCGUGUUUCUCGGCGUGGCCCGAUCCCCGAAGCCCCGGCAACCAUUGCGAGAGAGCAGCUGACGUGGCGGGGGGCGUUCCCACGGCGACCACACCCCCUCCCUUGACUUGAAAAAGCCUCAGGGAAGGCAGUGACUGCUGCCUAGUAGGUAUAGAGUGGAGCAACCAGCUUGUGCUUCAGGUCUGGAACUCUGAUGGAAUUUCUUCCCGCAUUUGGCCCCCGAGCAGGGACCUGAGUGGCGGACAGGAGCAGAGGCGCCGGGAGAGCAGCGACUGGUGGGCAAGAGCGACCGAACACUGUGCUGCAGUGUGUCGUCUCCGACGCCUGAACCAAUAAAAGUUCACCAGUGCUGGGCUACAGGACACAAGGGCUGCAAGGAGGUCUCUCAAAUUAGCGGGAGGUAUUGUACUAUUAUAAUGAAUAACGGAGGCAUGGAUUUAGAAGUAGCCCAAGAUUUAUUACAGCGCUUUUUAGAAAAGCGGGGGGUUGAUCAUAGUUGCAUUAAACAGCUAGCUGGUCUAGUAGCAACGGGGAAAACUAAGGGGUGUUUUCAGGAUCCUGAUUUGUUGUUUGAUGAAGGAGAGUGGAGGAAACUGGGAGACGUGUUGUGGGAUAUGGUUAUAGAUGAUGAUAAAUCAGCGAAGAACCUCAAAAGACUAUUAACUUGGUGCAGAGGCAAUGCGUAUCCUGCUGACCUGUCAGGAGUUUUUCGAAUAGAGACUUGGAAAAAGAUGGGAACUGUGUUGUGGAAGGCAAUUAGUCACCAUGAAAAAUAUAUUCUCGGCCUUGUAACCAUCUGGAAACUGAUAAAUACUACACUGAAGCAAUUAAAACCUGAAAAGACUGUUACGAGCAUUAGUGACUCAAAACUUGAACUUUGGGACAGUAUGGAGCAGAAAUUAUGGGAUAAAGUCAGCAAUGGAGAUACAGAAGCUAAAUCAUUAGUAACUACAUGGAAGCUUGAACGGUCUGCUGCUGCCAGAAUUUUUGCAGCGUUGCAGCCUGAUAAGCAUCCUGAAAGUUGUGGUGAAGUUCACCCGGUUUGUGUCUGCGAUACCCUCCCUAUUCCAUCCCCUGCUGUGCUUUCGGCACCCCCGAUGGUUCAGCAGUCCGGGGCGGGGGGAGAAACAAUGCCGAACGGGUAGCCUCCUGUACCAUCAUCUAACCCUGGUGAGAACAGCAAGUCCAGAGGAUUGGUGUCAGACAACUUACUCAAAGAACCUGUGAAAGUUGAGAAUGCUAAAGUCGUAAACACGUGUACUAUCAGUCCUUUUACCAAUUUUACCAAUCUGCUUUUCCUGCCUUUUAACCCUCUAACUUCCAUGAGAGAACAGAAGAAGUCACUGAAAAUAGAACUGGACAACAGAACUGUGUGACAGAUUAGAUCAGCUAACAGCAAGUGAAUCUGACAGUCAGCAAUGUGGUCAUGAUAAUCGUGACGGGAAAGGGGGUGCUCCUGGGGACUCAGGGUAUAAAACUUAGAAGUUAAGGAAGUACUGGUGUUGAAAUUAGCAGUAGAGAAUGCUAAAGUCUGCUAUCAACAUGUUAUUUGCGAGUUUUACAGUGCAUAUUAUGUGCUGCUGUUUAUUGCCUCUCUGAAAGUCAAGCAGCUUGUCAGGAAUGUGAGUUAAUUGUUUUACUGGUUGUUGUUAGAAUUGUUUCUUUGUGGUAUAAGUGCGCCGUAAAACUUUCUCUCCACUUUUCCCACUCACGCUGCAAGCAGCCCUGUGCUUUUCCAUGGGGUCAGAAAUUACUGUUUUCAGUCGUGUUCAUAAAAAAUCGGUAUUGGGAGGUGUUUCAAAACAUAGGGAAGCACUUGGAAAUAUGAGGAAAGAAGAUCUUGUAAAAUAUUGUAAUUAAUGGUGGCUGCUGUAUAAGUUAAAUGAUUGGGAAAAGUGUCCGGGGAAUAGAAUCUUGAAGUAUAACACCUUAUUGCAAUUAAUGUUGUUUUUAGGGCGAGAAGAGUAAGACAAAAUAAAUCCCUACAAGAGAUCAUUAAAUCAUUUCAGACAGCUGAGAGAGAGUUAGCUGAUAACACACAGGUCACAGUAAACUUGCUGAAGUCUGCACAAUGUUUUCCUUAUUAGCCUGUUUCCUUUGUGGGUAUCUGUUUAAGCAUGUUGCAAUUUUGGUAGGUCUUUGUUAUAUGGUAGAGUAAGUUCACAGACUGUUAAAUCAUGAGAAUCGGUUGACUCAAAAGGUGCGUUUUGUGAUAGUACAAAAGAUCAUGAGUAAUUUAGUUCCUUACUGCGUGAAGGUGAUGUUAAGAUUUUAUGUGUAGUAGCUGUUAUAUUUUUUUUUCUAGCAUACUAGGUUUAUUCCAAUAUGUAGACUUGCGCAACUCUGUGACAGGCUGUCUCUCAUCUCGGUGCACUAAAUUUGGCCUUUUUGUAUGCACAGCAAGUAAAGAAUCCUGGUUUUGGAAUAACAGUUGUAGCGCACCAGAUGAGACACUAAUAAAAGGCCUUGCCCAGUCCAGCUUGCUGCGGGGGGGGGGGUGGGGCCGGGUGCCGAAUGGGUCUCCAGCGCACACUGACCCAUUUUGUCAGGGAGACCCAGAGGUAUCUCCACCUGGCUGAGCAGUGAGCGGUUCAAGGUGCAAUGCAAAAAAUUGAGAUAUUGUCUUAAAUUGGUGUGUGAUCCAUCUGCUUAUUUGAACUUGGUAUAUGGUUUUCAUAUCUGAGCUCAGUAUUUUAGUUUGUAUAUUCAUAUUCGGUACCAAAAGAAUCUUGUUUGGGAGAUAAUUAAAAAAUGGGAACCGGUUCCACUGCUGAAAUUCCACCUUGCUCACCUUUAGGAUGCAUCCUUACACAUUAAAGUAAUCGCUUAUAUUGUUAGAAAAGCAUUUAAAUUGUUAAAAUACUAUGAUAGAUGUGAACUUGGGGUAUUGUAUGAAGUUAUGAAGUUGUAUUUAAAGGUUGCUGGAAUGUGAACUGAUUUGGAUCUAGGACAGUAGAAUAAUGGAUUUAUGUUUGUUAUACUGGUUUAUACUCUUUUUUUGACAUCUCUAAAUUGUAAAAGGUAAAUGGAGCUAAGGAAUGUAACUAUUGCUGAGCUACUUGAAAUUGCAUGUAAAGUGUAGUUGGAAUGAAAUGGGAAAAAAAAAAGAGCAAAAUAUCCCAGGCCUGUGUGCAGCUCAUUGUAACUGAGAAGUUUCCCAGAGCCUCCUACUUUGUACCAGCCAGUAUGCCAGCUGCGUGACCUUGGUUAUAUCUACACUGCACAGAAAGAGAAAACAACUGAAAAAAAAAAAAAACCUGGCUGCCUGCUUUUAAAGCAGUGAAAGGGGGGUUCUCUCUCCCCCCCACUGCAGCGAUGUAAUACUGAAUGGAGCAGUCCGAGGGUGAAGUUUAAAGGCAUCCUGAGCAGACCUGUAGUUCUAAUGAAACUGGACAAUUAAACCAAAAAUUUGUUGAUAGACUUAUCCUAUGGUAAUUAGUUGUACGAGACUUCUUAGUAAAUUCACUAUGCUAGUUUUUGAGGACAUGGGAGACAAUAAAAGAAAGGCCGUUUUUUGAGGCAAACGGAAUGCCAAAUUUGGAACAAAGUUUUAAUACAUGAAUUCUUGUACUUGCCCAAAAGUCCUAUACGUCUCUUGGGUCAGGAUUUGUUAAGUAAAUUGUAAGCUCAAAUAACGUUUUCUGAGAAUUCUGUUUAGUUGCAUGUCCUUCAAGAAGCUGCUUGGAUGGUGCAGAUCUGCUUGUGCAAGUGAGAAAUCUUCAAGGAACUUUUGAAUGCUGUAUUUCUACUAGUAUUAACAGCCAAUGUUUUUGAUAAAGCAAAUACUACACUGAGAAAUCUGAAACAGGACUUCGAUCCGGUAAGGGAAAACAAUAUCCAAUAAAUAUGACAGCCAGAAUGGAGUUAGAAGCUUUGAGGGAUGAAUUUUUGAUAACCUUACAAGCUGACUGCAUUCGAUUGGACUUGCAGAUUUGUCUAUUUAUAGCUACAACAUAGAAACAACCUGUGGCUAUUGUGGAACAGUAUGAUGAGAUUGCUAGCAGACUGAUAUACUGCUUGUUACUCUGAUCAAGAAAAGCAGGGAAUGAAUUUAAGUUUCAAUAGGCCAUGAUCCUUUUGUCAUAUAUGUACCAUUUGUGAAAUUUAAUUCUGAUUUUUUUUAAUUUUUUAUUUUAUUUGUAAUCUAUGUCUUUGUAAAUUGCACUAGCUGGUUUUCUUAACAGCACAGCUUUUGGUAUGCAUAAAUGUAAAAUGUAAAUUACUGCAGAACCUGCAAGUUUUUAACAUCAGGUCAUAGGCCAUACUUGUAUUUGGUCUGAUCCUACAUACUUGCACAGUUUUUGUUGAUGGUUUUGGGAAGUCUCAUAAAGCUGUAGUGGUUUAGCGUGAAGAUAGCAAUUAGCAUCAUUCUGUGAAAAUUAUUGAAAGUUCAACCCAAUUAGCAGAACUUGGCACAGCUUUACAUUACUUAGAGCUUUUUAAGGAGGAACCUCUAAAUUUGAUUUGCGAUUUUGAGUACAUAGUCAAGGUCCAAUGCACAUAUCUGAUUCUGAACUGUGUUUUUUGUUUUGGUUCUGUUCUUUUUUAAAACAAAAAGGGGGGAGAAGUAGGGAAAACACCACAAAACCAAUUGUCAAAAGCAUUGUAUGUGAUGAAAUACUUUGCAAGUGUGACCCAAAACCAUGCUAAAUCAGAAAGAACCUACAUUAGUUAUGGCCAAAUCACUAGUUAAUGGUCAAUGGAAAAGGCCACAUCAAUUGAUAACCUGGGGGAAAGGUUAUGCUUGUGUCUUUACAGAUCAAGGCCCGCAAUGGUUGCUGGCACGAAACGUGAAACCUGUGCUAUCUUCCUGACAAUGAUUGUUGCAGCUGCUGUGUUUUGGAUGCCUGCACAGACAAAGACUAACAUGUGGAUUACUUUAGCCAACAUGACUGGCCAGGACUCCAUAUGCCUAGCUAUGACAUCUCCGGAAAACCCAUUCCACACAUGCUUGGUUGGCAUCCCCCUUGAUGACUACAGCAGCAUCACACGACUGUUUCAAAUAGUGGUCGAUGCAGAGGCAUUGCAACGAACUGUAAUAAUACUAACAUGGCACUUUGGAUUAAUUGCCACCUGGAAGCAGACAUCGAACCACAGGAACUGGAAUUGCUGGCAUCUAUGCCCAUGGACACUUGUAUCCAGUCGGUUUGUGAAAAGUGUCAGAACAGUAUACAAGAACAUGAAUGGAUAAAAACUGCAAAAUGUUAAUGCUACCCUUGGUGACUACAGAAAUGAAACUCGACAGUGUAAUGCUUCACAGAAGAAUGCAAGGGAUGUCAUUGAUAAUGUGGGACAGCGACCCCAAAACCUCCUGUAUGGUGUAUUCUUGAUCUGUGAAGAUAGAGCCUGACCAGGAAUUCCUUCUAAUGCUGUUGGAGGACUGUGUAUUUUGGGACUAUUAACUCUCUUAACGCCCAACGUAUCUAUGAUAAUAGAUCACAGAAGAGCAAGACGAGAAAAACACUUUUUGCAUGUAUAUGAGUCAAAAUGUGAUGAUAAUGUAGAUUUUUGAGGAUCAGGGUUAAGGGUUUUAGGAUCUCUUUUAUCUAGUGUUUGCACAACUAAAGCUUUAAAUACUUUAGAAAAAUUAGGAUGCUGGCUAGUUAAGCAAACAAACAGAACUUCUAAGGCUUUAAGCGGACUUUUGUUAGAUGUAAAUUCUGUAAGACAUGCUACACUGCAGAAUACAGUCACAGGAGACUUUUGUUAUUAGCCCGUGGCCAUGGAUGUGAGGAAUUUGACAGAAUGUGCUGUAUGGAUUUACAGGAUAAGUCGAGAUCCGUCCACAAGGAGAUUAAACAACUUACGGACCAUUCACAGAAGAUCAGAGAGGAUGUGGGCCUCUUUGGCUUAGAGGGCCUCACGAACUGGUUUGGACUAGGAGGAUGGGAAAAAGGGCUUUUGCAGAGUGCUCUGGCUCUCUUAAUCAUAGUAGUAGUUGCAUUAAUAUGCUUGAGUUGUGCUAUAUCAUGUAUUAAGAAGAUUUUAGAGCAGACACUUGGGCAGGCUCUGCUCAUAAAAAAAAAAAAGGGGGGGAGAUGUCAGGAAUUGGCUCAAGGAUCAUGGACAUGAAUCCACCGAGCAACUGUACGAGCAGAGCCCAUUUUAGUUGACAUAAGUAGGCCUUAGUUAGCUUGUCUAUUAGGCCGUGGGAAAGGGUGGAACAGUAAAGUACUAACUAAGGCAGUGUCAGGAUAUCCUUGAAGAGAUAAGAGUCAGAAGAAUGCGGGAUGCACAUAGCUAGCUAAACCCAAGUAGGUGGAGUAAGUAAAUGUAACCUUUUAGUGCUUAGCCUGUUAGAGACAAGUAUGCAUAAUUAUGGUAUUUGGUAUAAAUGCACGCUAUCUCGGGCAAUAAAGUUGAAGUGUGCUUUAUCACUCA